rnacentral:rRNA from 1 species
GACGAACGGCUGGCGGCGUGGAUUAGGCAUGCAAGUCGGACGGUAGGGCUUUAUCGUAAGAUAGAGUUUGAGAGUGGCGAACGGGUGAGUAACACGUAGGAAUCUACCCUUAAGACGGGGACAACCCAGGGAAACUUGGGCUAAUACCGGAUGAGAGUGCGAGAGAUUGCAUUUAAAAGGAUGGCGAAAGUUGUCGCUUAGGGAUGAGCCUGCGGUCUAUUAGUUAGUUGGUGAGGUAAGAGCUCACCAAGGCGAUGAUAGAUAGGCGGCCUUAACGGGUGGUCGCCCACACUGGGAUUGAGAUACGGCCCAGACUCCUACGGGAGGCAGCAGUGAGGAAUAUUGGUCAAUGGGCGGAAGCCUGAACCAGCCAUGCCGCGUGCGGGAUGAAGGCCCUACGGGUUGUAAACCGCUUUUCCAGGGGGAGAAACUUUCCGAUGCAUCGGGAUUUGACGGUACCCUGGGAAUAAGCAUCGGCUAACUCCGUG